AUUAAUUGCUCUUUAUUAAUCUAUAGUGGCAUUUCUUUUAAACUGUUAUCAAUUGGCCAGAGUAUAGAUUGAUGUUGUGGCGUAUGUAUAGUAUUUUAAAUAUCUAUAGUCCACAGCACCUAUGGUAUGUCGUUUAACGUUUAUCUAUUGUUGACAGUUUAAAUUGACUUGUGCAUCUGUGGAUUUUUAAUAAAUUAAUGUUAUGUGCGUCUAUGAUUGUUUCACAUUUAUAUGUCAUUUAGUUUGUCAUGUAAACUUGACGCUUGUCGCCAUUUUACAAUUCAGCUUUUUUACUUGGUUUUUGAUGCGUGUUUCUAGGUGUGUUUAAUCUCUUCCUUAAUUAAUCGUGUAAUUAAUAUGUUUUUUGCCCAUUUCUACAGAUCGUUCAACAAAUGAGGGAGUUAAAGUUCAUUUUGGUCGUACUGAAACAACCAUUAUCUACAUGGGUGUGGUCUUUGGUGAACUACAUCCUUGAUUUGCUAUUUUCGUCUUCGCUUUGCAUCAGUAUGCAGUUAGUUUUGAACUGAUGAGUGAGAAGCAACUGGAUAUUUAUUUGAAUUCCGCUGAAAUAAGAAACUUUCUGCAUUGGAAUUAUUCCUGGAUAUGGUUUGCUUUUCACACCUGCAAACUUUGAAACAUUACAGUCUAGAGUUAAUUAAGAUUGUUCAACAAAUGAGAGGGAGUUGAAGUUCAUUUUGGUCAUACUGAAACAACCAUUAUCUACAUGGGUGUGGUCUUUGGUAAACUAUAUUCUUAAUCUGCUGUUUUCGUCUUCGCUUUGCAUCAUGAUGCAGUUAGUUUUGAACUGAUGAGUGAGAAGCAACUGAAUAUUUACUUGAAUUCCAUUGAAAUAAGAAACUUCCUGCAUUGGCAUUUUUCCUGGAUUUGGUUUGCUUUUCACAGCCGCAAACUUUGAAACAUUACAGUCUAGAGUUAAUUGAGAUUGUUCAACAAAUGAGAGGGAGUUGAAGUUCAUUUUGGUCGUAUUGAAACAACCAUUGUCUACAUGGGUGUGGUCUUUGGUGAACUACAUCCUUGAUUUGCUGUUUUCGUCUUCGCUUUGCAACAUUAUGCAGUUAGUUUUGAACUGAUGAGUGAGAAGAACUGGAUAUUUAUUUGAUUUCCACUGGAAUAAGGAAUUUUCUGCAUUGGCAUUAUUCUUGGAUUUGGUUUGCUUUU